rnacentral:rRNA from 1 species
UACAGAGGUCUCAAGCGUUGUUCGGAUUCAUUGGGCGUAAAGGGUGCGUAGGUGGCGCGCUAAGUCAGGUGUGAAAUUUCGGAGCUUAACUCCGAAACUGCAUUUGAUACUGGCGUGCUUGAGGACUGGAGAGGAGACUGGAAUUCACGGUGUAGCAGUGAAAUGCGUAGAUAUCGUGAGGAAGACCAGUGGCGAAGGCGGGUCUCUGGGCAACGACUGACGCUGAGGAGCGAAAGCGUGGGGAGCAAACGGG